rnacentral:rRNA from 1 species
GACGAACGCUGGCGGCGUGCUUAACACAUGCAAGUCGAACGAUGAAGCCGGAGCUUGCUCUGGUGAAUUAGUGGCGAACGGGUGAGUAACACGUGAGUAACCUGCCCUUGACUCUGGGAUAACUGCGGGAAACUGUAGCUAAUACCGGAUACGACCCUCGGAGGCAUCUCCUGGGGGUGGAAAGAAUUUCGGUCAAGGAUGGACUCGCGGCCUAUCAGCUAGUUGGUGAGGUAAAGGCUCACCAAGGCGACGACGGGUAGCCGGCCUGAGAGGGUGACCGGACACACUGGGACUGAGACACGGCCCAGACUCCUACGGGAGGCAGCAGUGGGGAAUAUUGCACAAUGGGCGCAAGCCUGAUGCAGCAACGCCGCGUGAGGGAUGACGGCCUUCGGGUUGUAAACCGCUUUCAGCAGGGAAGAAGCCGCAAGGUGACGGUACCUGCAGAAGAAGCACCGGCUAACUACGUGCCAGCAGCCGCCGUAA